ensembl:miRNA Gm23388 predicted gene, 23388
CUUCGGGACCGGGGUGCGGUUCGGAGAGCCGUUAGUCUUGGGAAACGUGGUGCGGCC